rnacentral:tRNA from 1 species
GGGGGUAUAGCUCAGGGGGAGUGCAGGUGCUUGGUAUGCACGAGAUCCUGGGUUCAAUCCCCAGUCCCUCUG